UGUCACCUUGUCCAGUAAAAGAAACCUGAACUUCUUAAACAUAAGAUGAUUUUGAUAAGUAGAUUGUAUAANAACUUAAUAAAUAUAACAUUAUAACAUGAAACUAUGAUUAAAAUAACCCUUUGAUCUGAGAAGUUCAUUGAUAUGAGGUUAGGGACUUGAAGGAUGCCAUGUUGCAAGAAACCCUUUAAGCCUUUUACAGAACUCACUGCAUAAAUCUGUUGUGGUGCUUGAGAGAUCAAUAGAGCUGAAAAAAUGAAAAAAUAUAUUCAAUUUCAGACAUAUGCAAAACCAAUCUAUGUUCUUGCAUACAUACACAUACACACAUAAAACUAAUAAUUGAGGGAUGAAGAACUAACCUGUAAUCCAAUCCAAUCUGUAUGUUUGCUACAUACACAAACAGCCAAAUACCACUAUCUGCUCCAUUCAUUUUUGCUACAACCACCAAACACCACCAUUGACCACCUUCUUGUUUGCAUAUGUUCUGAACCAUCACAUGCUCAGCUACUCCACCAUUUUAGCAACAUAAACAACCAAGAACCAGAACAAAACCACCUACAUCUUCAAUCCAUCGUUCUUGAUAACUUCACAAAUGAUCAAGGGAC
rnacentral:lncRNA from 1 species